UACGGAGGGUGCGAGCGUUGUUCGGAAUCACUGGGCGUAAAGGGCGUGUAGGCGGUCCGCUAAGUCUGAUGUGAAAGCCCGGGGCUCACCCCCGGAAGUGCAUUGGAAACUGGGGAACUUGAGUGCAGGAGAGAAGAGUGGAAUUCCACGUGUAGCGGUGAAAUGCGUAGAGAUGUGGAGGAACACCAGUGGCGAAGGCGACUCUUUGGCCUGUAACUGACGCUGAGGCGCGAAAGCGUGGGGAGCAAACAGGA
rnacentral:rRNA from 1 species